GCCCGAGUGGCGGAACUGGCAUACGCUACUGACUUAAGAUCAGUCGCCCGCAAGGGAUUGAGGGUUCGACUCCCUCCUCGGGCACCA
rnacentral:tRNA from 1 species